UGUCCAUUUUCCUGCCAUACAUUUCUAGAAAGCCUUACGUCAUCAUCCUACCCCAAAAAUGUUUCACAACCUAAAUCCUCUUCCCCUUAAAAAAAAAAACCUCUCGCGCCCGGAAAAAAAAAAAUCAAAAAAAAAAAAAAACCCGCAACACGUUCAGACCAGGAACCAAUCUUCCGUAAUACAAUCAAGCAAAAAAUCCAAACAGAGAGGUUAUCAAACCCUAAAAAAUUAAUUCGAUUCUUAUUACAUUUUUGUCUUCAACCUAAAAAAUCAAAUCGACACAUUUGGGGGAUUCUGCUUAUAUUUUCUAUUUUAAUUCUCUUUUGAGAAUCUGCAAAGUUGGGAUUUCAUAGGUCAUGAGGGCUACUCUGAUUUAUAGUCAAGUGAUUUCAUUUUGAAAGUUUUCUCAGCAAAAGUGGUCAAUCUUGACAUUGUUAUAUGGAUUUUAUAAAGGAUCCUGGAUGCAAGUUUUCAAAGUGAUUAUUGCUAUGUGAUGAAUCUGAUAGUUUAAUGGUCAUCGCUAGGUUUUCAUAGUUGUGAUAUUGUGACAUUCUGGACUCUUGGUCGUUAAGUCUUUGUGAAUUAUAAUAGCAUCUAUUUGGUUUUUGUUGGCAAUAUAGGGUCAAGCUUCCAUCUGGUGCCAAGAAAAUCGUACCAAGUGGUUGUCGUGCUAUGAUUGGUCAGGUUGCAGGAGGUGGACGUAUUGAGAAGCCUAUGCUCAAGGCUGGUAAUGCUUAUCACUAGUUCCGUGAAAGAGAAACUGUUGGCCCAAGGUUCGUGGUGUUGCUAUGAAUCCAGUGGACCAUCCCCAUGUAACCAUCAACAUAGAUAAGAAGUCGUAACCUGGAUAGAGUGCGUAAGCUCAAGAGUGCAAUGACAAGAUUGACCAACCGGGUUCACACAGUACGAGAUGAACUUGAACAACUACUGGACGACGACGAUGACAUGGCAGACCUCUAUUUAUCAAGAAAAACAUCUUUUGCUUCUUCCUCGAGCAGUGAUGGUGGAGAUGUAACCUUGUCACCAACCUCUCCUACUAUAGAGUCAAAGAUAUCCAGAGCAAGCAGGGCACCACCAUAUUCCGCUCAAAGGGAAAACGACGUUGAGGAACUAGAAAUGUUGCUUCAGGACCAUAAAUAAAAGCCAAGGACAGUCAUUAGCUCAAGUGGGAUUGUUUUUACAACGUCCGGUUUUCACGCAUGGUCAACUAUAUGUCGCACUUUCAAGGGUUACGACCAAAUCUGGUUUGAAGGUCCUUAUUGUCGAUAAAGGUGGAAAAAAUUCAAGCAAAACAACCAAUGUCGUCUAUAAAGAAGUGCUAUAAAAGAUUUGACAUUUUCACAAAAUCAAGGCCGAACUAUGGUGGGUGACUUUAGAUAAACGACUAUGGUGGGUGACUUUAGAGAAACGACUGAAACCUAGGUAUGAAGUUUAUAAAAUCUUGAAAGAGAAGAAGUUGGUUAAAGAUAUACCGGCGCUUUAUACAAUUGUACAAUAUCCUGAGUCAAAGUUUAUCCGUUUCUUGAAGAAGUUUGAGAGUAAGGUGCCGAAUUUAUGUGAAACAUAUGUCAACGGUAUUCGGAUGUUGAAAGCCAAAUGAUAUACAUACAUUUUUAUAAGCUCUCGUGAACCCCGUUUUGGGUGAUCAGGCUUUUUUAGUUAGAUUUACAGUCAAGAAUCGUAUCAACUAUUUAUUACCUAAGGAUCCUAUUAAGAAGUAAUGGAAGAGUUUUGUAGAACCAUUAACAGAUCAAGAUACUUAUUUUUUA